UACAGAGGGUGCGAGCGUUAAUCGGAUUUACUGGGCGUAAAGCGCGCGUAGGUGGCUAAUUAAGUCAAAUGUGAAAUCCCCGAGCUUAACUUGGGAAUUGCAUUCGAUACUGGUUAGCUAGAGUAUGGGGAGAGGAUGGUAGAAUUCCAGGUGUAGCGGUGAAAUGCGUAGAGAUCUGGAGGAAUACCGAUGGCGAAGGCAGCCAUCUGGCCUAAUACUGACACUGAGGUGCGAAAGCAUGGGGAGCAAACAGGA
rnacentral:rRNA from 1 species